rnacentral:rRNA from 1 species
GAUGAACGCUGGCGGCGUGCCUAAUACAUGCAAGUCGAGCGAACAGACGAGGAGCUUGCUCCUCUGACGUUAGCGGCGGACGGGUGAGUAACACGUGGAUAACCUACCUAUAAGACUGGGAUAACUUCGGGAAACCGGAGCUAAUACCGGAUAAUAUAUUGAACCGCAUGGUUCAAUAGUGAAAGACGGUUUUGCUGUCACUUAUAGAUGGAUCCGCGCCGCAUUAGCUAGUUGGUAAGGUAACGGCUUACCAAGGCAACGAUGCGUAGCCGACCUGAGAGGGGGAACGGCACCCCGGGAAUUGAACAACGUUCCAAGCCCCUACGGGGGGCACACGUAGGGAAUCUUCCGCAAGGGGCGAAAGCCUGACGGAGAAACGCCGCGUGAGUGAUGAAGGUUUUGGGUUCGAAAAACUCUUUUAUUGGGGAAAAAAAAAGGUGUAAGUAAAUUUGCCCGUCUUGACGGUACCUAAGAAAAAAGCCACGGCUAACUACGU